UACGAAGGGGGCUAGCGUUGUUCGGAAUUACUGGGCGUAAAGGGCGCGUAGGCGGCGUGUCAAGUCAGGCGUGAAAGCCCCGGGCUCAACCUGGGAAUUGCAUUCGAGACUGAAUAGCUAGGGUACGGUAGAGGGAAGUGGAAUUUCCGGUGUAGCGGUGAAAUGCGUAGAUAUCGGAAGGAACAUCAGUGGCGAAAGCGACUUCCUGGACCAGUACCGACGUUCAGGCACGAAAGCGUGGGGAGCAAACAGG
rnacentral:rRNA from 1 species